GACGAACCGUGCGAACGUUGUUCGGAAUCACUGGGUUUAAAGGGUGCGUAGGCGGUCGGGUAAGUCUGAUGUGAAAUCUCCAAGCCUAACUUGGAAACUGCAUUGGAUACUAUCCGGCUAGAGGAAUGGAGGGGAGACUGGAAUACUUGGUGUAGCAGUGAAAUGCGUAGAUAUCAAGUGGAACACCAGUGGCGAAGGCGAGUCUCUGGACAUUUCCUGACGCUGAGGCACGAAAGCCAGGGGAGCAAACGGG
rnacentral:rRNA from 1 species